rnacentral:piRNA from 1 species
CUCCCGUGAGAGGGUCAUUGCGGU